rnacentral:tRNA from 1 species
GUGUGAUUAGUAAAAAGUAAAAAACACACAAUUGUUUGGGUUUUAACCAAUUGGUCGCAGGUUCGAAUCCUGCACGACCCACCA